rnacentral:rRNA from 1 species
CGAAGCACAGAUGUAGAAUUUCUUCGGAAAGGAAGCGCCUGUGACUGAGUGGCGGACGGGUGAGUAACGCGUGGGCAACCUGCCCCAUACCGGGGGACAACAGCUGGAAACGGCUGCUAAUACCGCAUACGUUUUCGGUGCCGCAUGGCGCCGAAAAGAAAACUCCGGUGGUAUGGGAUGGGCCCGCGACUGAUUAGCUAGUUGGGAGGGUAACGGCCUACCAAGGCGACGAUCAGUAGCCGGCCUGAGAGGGCGACCGGCCACAUUGGGACUGAGACACGGCCCAGACUCCUGCGGGAGGCAGCAGUGGGGAAUAUUGCACAAUGGGGGGAACCCUGAUGCAGCGACGCCGCGUGAGCGAAGAAGUACCUCGGUAUGUAAAGCUCUAUCAGCAGGGAAGAAAGUGACAGUACCUGACUAAGAAGCCCCGGCUAACUACGUGCCAGCAGCCGCGGUAAUACGUAGGGGGCAAGCGUUAUCCGGAUUCACUGGGCGUAAAGGGAGCGCAGGCGGCGCGGCAAGUCUGAUGUGAAAGCCCGGGGCUCAACCCCGGGUCUGCAUUGGAAAUUGUCGAGCUGGAGUGUCGGAGGGGUAAGCGGAAUUCCUAGUGUAGCGGUGAAAUGCG